GACGAACGCUGGCGGCGUGCCUAAUACAUGCAAGUAGAACGCACAGUUUAUACCGUAGCUUGCUACACCAUAGACUGUGAGUUGCGAACGGGUGAGUAACGCGUAGGUAACCUGCCUGGUAGCGGGGGAUAACUAUUGGAAACGAUAGCUAAUACCGCAUAAUAUUAAUUAUUGCAUGAUAAUUGAUUGAAAGAUGCAACUGCAUCACUACCAGAUGGACCUGCGUUGUAUUAGCUAGUAGGUGAGGUAACGGCUCACCUAGGCGACGAUACAUAGCCGACCUGAGAGGGUGAUCGGCCACACUGGGAAUGAGACACGGCACAGACUCCUACGGGAGGCAGCAGUAGGGAAUCUUCGGGAAUGGACGAAAGUCUGACCGAGCAACGCCGCGUGAGUGAAGAAGGUUGUCGGAUCGUAAAGCUCUGUUGUAAGAGAAGAACGGGUGUGAGAGUGGAAAGUUCACACUGUGACGGUAUCUGACCAGAAAGGGACGGCUAACUACGUG
rnacentral:rRNA from 1 species